rnacentral:rRNA from 1 species
GGGGAAUAUUGCGCAAUGGGCGAAAGCCUGACGCAGCCACGCCGCGUGUGUGAUGAAGGCCCUCGGGUCGUAAAGCACUGUCGGGAGGAAAGAAGUUCUGACGGUACCUCCCAAGAAAGCACCGGCUAACUCCGUGCCAGCAGCCGCGGUAAUACGGAGGGUGCAAGCGUUGCUCGGAAUCACUGGGCGUAAAGCGUACGCAGGCGGCGCGUUAAGUCGGGUGUGAAAGCCCGGGGCUCAACCCCGGAAUUGCAUUCGAUACUGGCGUGCUGGAGUGCGGGAGAGGGAAGCGGAAUUCCUGGUGUAGAGGUGAAAUUCGUAGAUAUCAGGAGGAACAUCAGUGGCGAAAGCGGCUUCCUGGCCCGAUACUGACGCUCAUGUACGAAAGCGUGGGGAGCAAAC